CAACAGGGUAGCUGGAGUGCAGCUGCUGGGAAGCUCCCAAACACAUCAGAGACAGGCUCCUCCAGGGAUGACAACAGGACCCCUAGAAAACCACACAAGGAAGUGAAGAAGCAGAUCUGAGAAUUGAUGGUAAAGCACCUGCUCCAGUCUCCACUCGAGAUGAUGGCGUCGAACCACAGUAAGAAGUAGCUGAAAAGACAAAGCAGUUAUAAUGGAGGAGGAUACACAUCAUCCAAAGGGAUUUUAUACAACUUGGCAUCCCAAUUGCUGUUUUCACUAAUGUCUGUUACUGAUCUAUAAAACAUUUUU